GACGAACGCUGGCGGCGUGCUUAACACAUGCAAGUCGAACGGAAAGGCCCUGCUUGCAGGGUACUCGAGUGGCGUACGGGUGAGUAACACGUGGGUGAUCUGCCCCGCACUUCGGGAUAAGCCUUGGAAACUGGGUCUAAUACCGGAUAUGAGCCAUUUUUAGUGUGAUGGUUGGAAAGUUUUUUCGGUGUAGGAUGAGCUCGCGGCCUAUCAGCUUGUUGGUGGGGUAAUGGCCUACCAAGGCGGCGACGGGUAGCCGGCCUGAGAGGGUGGACGGCCACAUUGAGACUGAGAUGCGGCCCAGGCUCCUACGGGAGGCAGCAGGGGGGAAUAUUGCACAAGGGGCGCAAGCCUGAUGCAGCGACGCCGCGUGGGGGAUGACGGCCUUCGGGUUGUAAACUCCUUUCGCUAGGGACGAAGCUUUUUGUGACGGUACCUAGAUAAGAAGCACCGGCUAACUACGUG
rnacentral:rRNA from 1 species